AGAGUUUGAUCAUGGCUCAGAUUGAACGCUGGCGGCGUGCCUAACACAUGCAAGUCGAGCGGUAACAGGUGUAGCAAUACAUGCUGACGAGCGGCGAACGGGUGAGUAAUGCUUCGGAAUCUACCCAAUGGCGGGGAAUAACUAGCCGAAAGGUUAGCUAAUACCGCAUAAGCCCUACGGGGGAAAGCAGGGGAUCGUAAGACCUUGCACCGAUGGAUGAGCCGAAGCCGGAUUAGCUAGUUGGUAGGGUAACGGCCUACCAAGGCGACGAUCCGUAGCUGGUCUGAGAGGACGACCAGCCACACUGGGACUGAGACACGGCCCAGACUCCUACGGGAGGCAGCAGUGGGGAAUAUUGGACAAUGGGGGAAACCCUGAUCCAGCGACGCCGCGUGUGUGAAGAAGGCCUGCGGGUUGUAAAGCGCUUUUAGUGGGGAUGAAAAGUUCAGGGCUAAUAUCCCUGGAUCUUGACCUAACCCAAAGAAAAAGCACCGGCUAACUCUGUGCCAGCAGCCGCGGUAAUACAGAGGGUGCAAGCGUUAAUCGGAAUUACUGGGCGUAAAGCGUGCGUAGACGGUUAUGUAAGUCAGGUGUGAAAGCCCCGGGCUCAACCUGGGAAUGCCAUUUGAGACUGCAUAGCUAGGGUACGGAAGAGGGAAGCGGAAAUUUCGGUGUAGCGGUGAAAUGCGUAGAUAUCUGAAGGAACACCAGUGGCGAAAGCGGCUUCCUGGUCCAGUACCGACGUUUCAGCACGAAAGCGUGGGGAGCAAACAGGAUUAGAUACCCCCGUAGUCC
rnacentral:rRNA from 1 species